GGGGAAUAUUGGGCAAUGGGGGAAACCCUGACCCAGCGACGUCGCGUGAGGGAAGAAGGUCUUCGGAUUGUAAACCUUUGUCAACAGGGAAGAAGCAAGUGACGGUACCUGAAGAGGAAGCCACGGCUAACUACGUGCCAGCAGCCGCGGUAAUACGUAGGUGGCAAGCGUUGUCCGGAUUUACUGGGUGUAAAGGGCGUGUAGCCGGGAAGGCAAGUCAGAUGUGAAAUCUGGAGGCUCAACCUCCAAACUGCAUUUGAAACUGCUUUUCUUGAGUGUCGGAGAGGUAAUCGGAAUUCCUUGUGUAGCGGUGAAAUGCGUAGAUAUAAGGAAGAACACCAGUGGCGAAGGCGGAUUACUGGACGAUAACUGACGGUGAGGCGCGAAAGCGUGGGGAGCAAACA
rnacentral:rRNA from 1 species